GCGCGAGCAGGUGCGAAAGCAGGUCAUAGUGAUCCGGUGGUUCUGAAUGGAAGGGCCAUCGCUCAACGGAUAAAAGGUACUCCGGGGAUAACAGGCUGAUACCGCCCAAGAGUUCAUAUCGACGGCGGUGUUUGGCACCUCGAUGUCGGCUCAUCACAUCCUGGGGCUGAAGUAGGUCCCAAGGGUAUGGCUGUUCGCCAUUUAAAGUGGUACGCGAGCUGGGUUUAGAACGUCGUGAGACAGUUCGGUCCCUAUCUGCCGUGGGCGCUGGAGAACUGAGGGGGGCUGCUCCUAGUACGAGAGGAC
rnacentral:rRNA from 1 species